rnacentral:rRNA from 1 species
UCGAUGAAGCCGGGGCGUGAGCCAUCCGGUGGAGAGAUCACUAGUGAGAAUGAUGACAUGAGUAGCGACAAACAGGGUGAGAGACCCUGUCGCCGAAAGUCCAAGGGUUCCUGCUUAAAGCUAAUCUGAGCAGGGUAAGCCGACCCCUAAGGCGAGGCCGAAAGGCGUAGUCGAUGGGAACCAGGUUAAUAUUCCUGGGCCAGGAGGAUGUGACGGAUCUGAGCCGUUGUUCACACUUAUCGGAUUGUGUGGGCAGCCAACAGGUUCCUGGAAAUAGCCCUCCAUGAGAUCGUACCCUAAACCGACACAGGUGGAUAGGUAGAGAAUACCAAGGCGCUUGAGAGAACGAUGUUGAAGGAACUCGGCAAAAUACCUCCGUAAGUUCGCGAGAAGGAGGCCCGGUUCCAAGGCAACUUGGAGCUGGGGGCACAAACCAGGGGGUGGCGACUGUUUACUAAAAACACAGGGCUCUGCGAAG